rnacentral:tRNA from 1 species
GGCUCCGUAGUUCAACGGAUAGAACAAAAGUUUCCUAAACUUUAGAUACAGGUUCGAUUCCUGUCGGAGCUACAA